ACUCCUACGGGAGGCAGCAGUGGGGAAUAUUGCACAAUGGGCGCAAGCCUGAUGCAGCCAUGCCGCGUGUAUGAAGAAGGCCUUCGGGUUGUAAAGUACUUUCAGCAGUGAGGAAGGUAUCGUAGUUAAUAGCUGCGGUAUUUGACGUUAGCAACAGAAGAAGCACCGGCUAACUCCGUGCCAGCAGCCGCGGUAAUACGGAGGGUGCGAGCGUUAAUCGGAAUUACUGGGCGUAAAGCGCAUGCAGGUGGUUUGUUAAGUCAGAUGUGAAAGCCCGGGGCUCAACCUCGGAAUUGCAUUUGAAACUGGCAGGCUAGAGUCUUGUAGAGGGGGGUAGAAUUUCAGGUGUAGCGGUGAAAUGCGUAGAGAUCUGAAGGAAUACCAGUGGCGAAGGCGGCCCCCUGGACAAAGACUGACGCUCAGAUGCGAAAGCGUGGGGAGCAAACAGGAUUAGAUA
rnacentral:rRNA from 1 species